GAUGAACGCUGGCGGCGUGCCUAAUACAUGCAAGUCGAGCGAACAGACGAGGAGCUUGCUCCUCUGACGUUAGCGGCGGACGGGUGAGUAACACGUGGAUAACCUACCUAUAAGACUGGGAUAACUUCGGGAAACCGGAGCUAAUACCGGAUAAUAUAUUGAACCGCAUGGUUCAAUAGUGAAAGACGGUUUUGCUGUCACUUAUAGAUGGAUCCGCGCCGCAUUAGCUAGUUGGUAAGGUAACGGCUUACCAAGGCGACGAUGCGUAGCCGACCUGAGAGGGUGAUCGGCCACCCUGGAACUGAGACACGGUCCAGACUCCUACGGGAGGCAGCAGUAGGGAAUCUUCCGCAAUGGGCGAAAGCCUGACGGAGCAACGCCGCGUGAGUGAUGAAGGUCUUCUGAUCGUAAAACUCUGUUAUUAGGGAAGAACAAAUGUGUAAGUAACUAUGCACGUCUUGACGGUACCUAAUCAGAAAGCCACGGCUAACUACGUG
rnacentral:rRNA from 1 species